ensembl:lncRNA
GGAAGGGGAGAGGAGUGAUGAUGACUGUCAGAAAUCCUUGAGGAAGUUCCUUUUUUCUACUCUUGGAUGUGCGUUGUUUCAGUAACCCAUGUUGUGCCUGGCAGGCUCGUGCCCCAGCACAGCUGCAGUUCAGAAGCACCUUUAGAUGCUAUCUUUAAUGUUCUUCUAGAAAAAGAAUUAGGCAGAGCUGAGCUUCUCUCUUAAUUUUGAGGAGAGAUUGCAUCUUCAAAGGUAUUGAAGAAUACAGAUCCCAAAGCAAACUCAGAAUACGGUGCAUAAAGUUUUCAUAGCUGCAUUAGACUGGAAAACAUCCUGGCCCGCAUUCCAACUCCUGCCAUCUCCAGUUCUGCUGCUGAGAGCUCCCAACCUCAGUCUCGGUGACAGCAUGCACCAUAUACAAAGUGGGACUUUUAAGAUAUUUACAUUUGGAGACAGAAUCAACAGUGCAAGGCCAGACCUGUGCCCUCAUUGCUCUCAAAAAUAAAAAGAGAUGUCUGGAAAUUAAAGCAAGUGUCUGAGAUUAUACUGUUUUCUUGCAUCUUGACUCUUACAGCUAAGGACAAACGUGAUGCUGUUGCCUGUGUUUUCCUUAGAACCACAGAAUGGCUUGAGUUGGAAGGGACCUCAGUCAUUAUCCAGUUCCACUCCUACACCAUGGGCAGGGUUGCCAACUUACUCAGGCAUCUUUAUGGGCACAGAGCAGCAUAUGCCUCUGCCCUUCACAAUGACUUUCUUCAAGCACUUGAAUUGAUCUUUUUUCCAGAUGAAGACAUAUACCAUUCUGAACCACAUUUGAGGGUGUUUCCAACUAAGCUUGGUGAGGGAUGAAGCUAUAAGGACUCAUUGCCAAGAAAUGCUAGUGGAUACACACCUUCACCCCUCUUGCAGAGAACUAUUGAUGGGCUCACGUGGCUGAGAUAUUUAUGAAGAAACUUCUUGUACAAGGUUAAAGCACACACACUGGGAAAGGAAAGCAGCUGCCUUCUAAGCUGUACUCCAAUGAGUUUAUGGAGACGUCGUGGCAGUUGAAUUUAUACGAGCUGAACAGCUUCAAAAGAAAUGCUGAGUAGUCCUUACUGCUGCACAACUGAUGGCCAAGUCCAGGGAGGACAUUCAGAGGGAGGAACCCAGCCCUUCCCAAACCAGGUCACAGGAUUCAGCCUCAGCCUGCCUCUUCCCAGCUCAGCAAUGCAAUUAAUGACCUUCUGGGUGGGAAGGACACAAGGGACUGUGUUCUGCAUGAGGUCCAUAACAUCCAUCACAUUGGGUCCUUCAGGAAUGACAGCUGGGAAACAUCAUCAGCUGUGAUUCAGGCUCAUCUGCUCAGCCAACAAAGCAGCCAGUAACUCCAGGGUUUGAAGACAUCUGAUUUGAGGUUUUGAGGACAUUCCUUUAAGCAUUUGAUCCAAAACCACAGCUACAGAGCUUGGAAUACUCUAGUGUUUAUACAGAAGAUGACCACUGAUAGCAUGAACAACUUUUACUGUUCCUUGAGCUUGGAGUUCAUAAUGCUGUUUGGACAUUAUAAGCCCUUAAGUACUGUAACAAAGUGAACGUUCAGCUCCAGGAAUUUCAAAUCCAGGCGAAGUGAACUUGCUGAUUAACUCUGUGAAUGAAUUUCGUGGUUUAGUAGAGGCUCUGAUGACAGCAAAUGAAAAUCUGUCUUAAACUGUAGUAAAACCUGCAGGAAAUACAAGGCACCUGCUGAGAAAUCAGCUUUCUCUUUAGCUAUUACGUUUAAUCUCUUUGACUCUUGUCUAGUUCUUCUAGGUUAGUGGGAACAUAGGUAUGGAUUUUACAGUGCUGUCAUCACCAGUGAAAUGCUCAUAUUAAUCUAGAUUUGUAUGCUAUAUGGCUGUUGGCAAUGAGGACAGUUAACAUUCCAGUAUCAAUUUCCCUUCAAGGAUACUGAAGAGCGUUGGAAACAUUAAGCUUUGAGGCUAGUAAUUUACUAAUGAGAACACUGAUUCAAAGAGAAAUUAGAACCUUAAUCUCUCACCCAGUGAAGCCAAUAGAAAUCAUUUUGUGAUUUCCUUGGGCAGACUCUGUGUAGUUUGUAAAAGGUCACAGAAGAAAUCACAGAAAAAUUAGACUGAGGUCCAAUAACUUUGUGCUUGCCCAGUAGGAGAGUAGCUGCCCCUUGUGCUACGCCUGUACCCUUUAGAUCCAAAUCCCUUUUCCUUAGUGCAGUUGAAAAAUAUUCCAAUAAACCUUGAUUUGCUGGGACCUCAUUCCCGCGUCACCACCAGCUGUGUGCUGUAGCAGAGGAGAUGUGGAACAAUAAUAUAACAGCUUUGGAGCUCUGUUAUUUUUCAUUCAGGCUGAACACCACAGGUGUCCUUCCUGGCACCCUGUGGUGGAGGCUGAUUCUCUAAGCAGAUUUUGGAAGCAAAGAUCUCUUGGACAAGUUUCCUACAGAAGCAUAAAGCCGCUCCCACCAAACUGAAGAACCAAAACCUUGCCACUGUGUUUACGUGCUCACAGUGACAUGAAGUCCUUUAGUACAACUCAAGGCCAUGCCCAACUUCAUAGAAAUGAAGUUUCCAAAUUCUUUGAAGCAGUUAAACUUUGACGAAAAGCUGUACUGCACUGCUGAGACCUUUCAUUGAACUAAAGCAUCCGGUUUUCAGAGUGACAGGGUGACAUUGAGGAAAUCACAAUUAAGUUCUUCAAACGUGUUAUUUUAUAGGUAGUAUCCUCCAAGGCCUGAUCCAAAGUGCUCUGUACUCAGUAGGAACCAUUCCACCUCAGGGCUCACUCAAUGUUUUCCAGCAUGCUCUGUCUCUGGUAAUAUUUCAAGCAGUUUAUUACAGAAUUGCAUAAUGCAAUAUGCAUUGCUCGUGUGGGUAGAAACCUUUAUAUCAACAGUCUAGAUAAAUGCCAGCACUGCUAUCAUAAUACACUUCAAUAGAGGUAAGAAAUAUAGUGAUGUGUUUACAAAUUUGAUCCAUUCAGAGCCCUGGGCUGUAGUAACUUAUAUAUAGGAGCAUUUAUGUAGAAAACCACUGGAGCAUAUGCAUGAUUAUUUAUCAAGAUGCUCUAUGUAUGGUGUUGGUAUUAUGCAUUAUGCUUGAUAUAACAGGAAUAAACACUUCAUGAAAGAACACAAAGGACACCAGAAAGGUAUAUCACAAACAUAUUUUUAUAAUGAACCCACAGAGUAUUUAUGCUGUAGAUUCCACAUAAAGUGUGUGUGAGCUAGCCAAGUACAGCCCUCCCAAAACCAGGUAAGCAGUACAGUUUUAUAAUGAUGAUAUAACUGAAAGAGCCUUCAUUGACUUUAAGUACAAACCUUAUGCUUUCUAAUGUUCCUUCAACUUCCUUGUCACGUAAAGGUCAGUCCACAGCACAGUAGAAGGAAUGGAUGUAUAUCUACGAUACGCACAGCAGAUUUAAGCAUUUGUACUCAUUUGGGUUUAGCCAACUAUGCUGUGCAGUGAGUGGCAAAUGUAUUAUUCUGUUGUGCCAUAUAAAGUAUUAUUCCAGGUGUUUGAAAUAAUGCAUACAGUUAAAGGUUAUGGCAGAAUAACAUUAAAGAAAUUCACUGUUUCUUGGCCUGAUGGUAGUAUGGAUGAUAAAAAGGAGAUGGUUAUUACAGCCUUGAAGCAUUACAGUUAUUUUGCUAUGAUAAUAGUCCUCAGAUUUUGUUAUAGCCCUAGUAUGUUACCUGAAAGUUAAAAUGCAAUUUACAGGUCUGUGAUCUCUUAUUGUCUAGAAUGUAAUUUCUAAAAGAAAAUGAGUGGUGAUCUUGAGGAUAAAUCCUGGUUUCUUUAAACUUGUUUUUUCUUUUCUUUUUUUUUUUUUGUAAGAGGAGGUUUAUUCCUCAGAGAAUGAAUCAAUCCAGGAUUGUCACUUCUAGAUUGAAAUACGCCAAGAUGAAUAUCUCUUCCACUUCAUACUGUUAUCACUCUUUGUUACCAACUUAUUAUGGACUACAGGUAGCAAGUGCUUCUGGACUUACAGCAAUACACCAAAGGUGUCAGAUGGCCAGGAGCUUCCAACCAGACCCUGCAUGAUUUGAGUGGCCCAAUGGAUUGUUUUGGUUCUACUUGUGAGCUAUUUUGAAAUAUUACAGUGUCCAUUACCGCAGUAUUAGCACUUCACUGUCCUUAAUGCUGUUUAAUCCAUCAGUUUUAGAGUCCCAAACCAAGGACUCCCUGCCAGCAGUCACCGCUACCGAUGCAGUGCACACUGUCAGAUUGCAACCUUGGCCAUAACAAGGUCAUGUAAUAAAGCACAUGACAGAGGAAAGACUGUAAUAAUAAUUAUUUCCAUUGUGUAUAAUAAAUAAUAUAAUAAAGCUUAGUUGUAAGCAUUAGAAGAGCCGUG